UGUGGAGAUAUGGGGAGAUGUGUAGAGAUGUGGGGGAGAUGUGGGGAGAUGUAUGAAGAUGUGGGGAGAUGUGGAGAGAUGUGGGGAAAUGUGUGGAGAUAUGAGGACAUGUGGGGAGAUGUGUGGAGAUAUGUGGAGAUAUGUGGAGAUAUGAGGAGAUGUGUGGAGAUGUGCGGAGAUAUGAGGAGAUGUGGGGGAGUGGCACCAGAGGCAUUGCUGAGUCCCCCAGAACUUUUCUGUUCCAGGAAUAGGGAGAGUGAGGCCUGACCUCCAGGCACAGCUGGGGGCCCUUCCUGGUGACUCAACCCCUAUGACCUUGGUCCCUGAAGGCCAACUCCCACCCCCUGCACCCCUCCAGCCUGACCUCUGAGGUCCCUCCAAGGGGCUCCCACAUGGGUCCCCACAUGGUUCCCCACAUGUGUUCCCACAUGGGGUUCCUACAUGGGUCCCCACAGUGGUUUCCACAUGGGUUUCCACAUGGUAUCCCCACAUGGGGUCCUCACAUGGGGUUCCUACAUGGGUCCCCACAUGGUUCCCCACAUGAUCUCCACAUGGUAUCCCCACAUGGGGUCCUCACAUGGGUUCCCACGUGGGGUUCCCACAUGGGUUCCACUUGGGUGCUGACAGCAUCUUCGGGAUGUUGUUUACAUCUCUCUGCCCACAUUCAUUUUUCUGCUUGGCCAAGUGUUUAGCAGAGCAUGUGUGCUAAAAUCUAUCCAUAUUAUGUCCAAUUUUUCUAAGAAUCCUGGCAAUUAUCGAUUCUCCUAUUUUUAGGCCAGUUGGCUCCAUCUGCUCUCCAUCUUUUGGGAACCCUCAAAGUCCCUGUCUCCAGCUCUGAGGAAAGUUUCCCAGUUUCUGUGACCUGUUGGCCACUGCGGUGGGCGCCGGGGAGGGGUUUCAGGCGUCCCUAAGUCAGCAGAGGCCCCCAGCACGCCCCACUCCCAGGGAACCUGAGCUGCAGUUUCCCGCUGGCCGGGCGCUCAGGACGUGCGGCCACACACCCCGCUGCCCACACCGCGUCCAGGCCAGGUGGCCAGGCUGCCAGCACGAGCUAGAGUGAGGCCGGCCUUUUACACAACAUCUUUCACUUUCAGGGACUGGAUUUUUCCCCCGUUUCACAUAAGCCAAUGUGUUUGUCAAGAGAAAGUUAAUUAAAAACAUAUUUUUCUAAUUAAAUGGUAGGCUGUGCUAUGCAAACAGUAAGAUUCUUGUUUGAGAGCAAACCGCCCCCCGCCCCCCGCCGUUUCCAGAGUUACCCUGGGAAUUCAAUAGAUCAACAACACAGACCCGAGCCCCAAGGUUAGGACACGCGCGAACACAGGCCCCGGGGGGCCUGUAGGCCGCUGGUGGCCCAGCCAGCGGGAGGCGCGCGGCAGGGGGCCUGGCGCCCGCCCACUGGGAGAGGCCGCCCGAGGCUGUCCUCGGCCCAGAGCCAGGUCAUGGCCUCAAUGGCUCAGAGGGCUCACAGCAGCCUCCUGGCACCCAGGCAUGCCACGUCCACCAGCUCGCCACACGCCCUCCACACCCUCUGCUCUUUCACAGAGAGCUUGCCUCCAGGGCCUGAAUCAGGCUUCCAUCCAGCUUCUAGAAGCAAAGCGGGGAGCGGCUCGUCCUCCCGGGCCGGAGGUGCUGGCCCGCGCUGUGGCUGGAGUGGAUUCCUAAUGUUUGAUCAAGAUAUGUCUGUGUUCCUUUAGGGUACCACACUUACCCGAGUGUUUUAAUGUGUUACAUGUAUUUUAUUUUCAUAAAAUGAAUUGAUGAGCUUUCCAUCUUUUUCUAUCACCUGGAAGAGUCUAAACAGCCUCAGAGUUAAGCUUUCUUGAAAGGUUGCAUUGAACUUACCUGCAGGCUCCCUGCUGCUCCUGUCAUCUUAUAAACCAUUUGAAUUCCCUCUCCCAACUUUUCCUCCGUUGGUCUGUUCCAGUUUUCCAUCUCUUCUGAGGUCAGUUUUUGACAUUUGGAAGUCACUCAUCUCAUAUUUUUUAGUGCACCACCAGGGAGUCACUCUCAUAUUUAACCAUUUUAUUUACAUGUGUUGUUGUUGUUGUUCAUUCACUAAGUCGUGUCUGACUCUUUGCAAACCCAUGGACUGCAACAUGACAGGCCUCCCUGUCCAUCACCAAUUCCCAGAGUUUGCUCAAACUCAUGUCCAUUGAGUCGGUGAUGCCAUCCAACCAUCUCAUCCUCUGUCAUCCCCUUCUUCUCCUGCCCUCACUCUUUCCCAGCAUCAGGGUCUUUUCAAAUGAGUCAGCUCUUCACAUCAAGUGGCCAAAAUAUUGGAGCUUUAACUUCAGCAUCAGUCCUUCCAGUGAAUAUUCAGAGUUGAUUUCCUUUAGGAUGGACUGGUAGUUAGAUUUAAUUUAUAUCUAUAGUUACAUCUGUUUCUGUCCCUGAUGUUAACAGAUUUUUAUUUGUUUCUCUUUAACUUGCCAGCAGUUCAUCUGUUUUAUUGGCCUUUUCAAAGAAUUAACUUCUCUUUUCUCCUUUUUGUCUAGUUCAUUCGUUUCCAUUUUUAUCCCUAAUAACAUCCUCUUUUUGUUGUUGUAACAUUUCUGAUUUCUUUGAUUAUGUAAGUGAUGUAUUUAUGAUUGGGCUUAUUCUUUCAAUAGUAAAAGUAUUCAAUAUUGGUACAUUUUACUUCAUCAUAGUUUUCAAUAUGAAUUCUUCCCCCCUCCCUUUUUUUAAACCAAUUUUUCAGGAGUUUCUGUCUUUAUUUCUUCUUUCAUUCAGAGGUUAUUUAUUAAUGGAACAAUAAUUAAAGCUUGUGUCUCUUCUUGUCACUGUGCCUUAUCUUACUGGAGAGAGAGCUGGCUCUGGGCAGUUCCGAGCUUUUGAUCGGCUUCCAGAUAGCUCUUUGCCUAUGCGCCUGCUCUCUUGGUGGUUGUUGGUUUGUUCAUUCAGUUUUGUCUACUUGUUUGUGGUACAUUUGGAGGGGAACUGGACAAGUUGAUAGCAGUUUACAGAGAAGAGAUGUUUGAGAUUUUCCAAGGGAUUUUGAAAGAGAAUAAGAAAAUUGACUGUAACAGUAGUGUGGUCAAAGCAGCAGAGGUUGGCGUGAGGGUGGACAAAGUGGCAAGCAGGGCAGAGUCCGGAAGCUUCCAACUGCCAGUAACCUGGAGCAGACCUGGGUUCCUGUCGGGGCCGCUGAGGCCCACCGUGUAAAGAGAAGGGCUCUGCUCCUUACACAUGAGCACUUCCCAGUGAUGGUUCUGUCCCAGGACUGCCUCCAGGCUCCCAGAGGGCAGGACCAGGCGGCUGUACCUGCCGCCCAUGCCCACCCACACCGGGCGCUGGCCAACCGAUGAACAGACCAAUCCAUGUCAACAGUGCAUGAGAAGGUUGAGGACCUGGGUCCAAGAGCUCAGAGGGACGGGCUGGGGGUGGCUCUGCUCUUGUGCGACAGGCCGGGUGACGAGUGUCACCCCCGUCUGCAGUGCUGGUGCCUGAGGCCUUUCCACCUCUAUGACCCCCAUGUUCCAGCAGCCCUCAUAUGAGGGGGUCCCCACACUUCUCCCAUCCUUCCCUUGGUCCCGACAGGAACUCCAUGAGGUCGCAUCACCCCCAUCCACAGAAGGGAAGCCAAGGCUGGGAGCUGGUCCAAGGGUGCACACGGAGCCCCAGUCCCUUCCUCACACCCAGGCGCUGCUGGAGCGGGCGGUCAAGCCUGGGCAGGAGGGCUGGGCGGCGUGCCUGCCUGCGGCUGCACCCCACUCUGAGCACCGCAGGCUGGUGACGCUGGCUUGGCCAGCCCCCACCUGUCUCAGGAUCAGGGCUCAGAACCAGAGCCACCCAAGGAGGAGCCCGACUCAGCGGGGCUCAGGGUGACGUUCAUGAAGGGCGCCUGUGCCGUGAGCACUGCAAUCACUCCAGUUACUGAACCCGUACACGCCGCGUCAGCACAAGAGUAGUGUAAUGCUCCACAGCAGUGCCUGGGCCUCCUUAAAAGACCGUGAAGUGGUUAAGCCAUAUUUGAGGGAAACUUCUGCUUUUCUACUGGAAAAUGUAUACAAACAGAAAACUGUCAUUUCCAAAAUUACAAAGAACGGUAAAACUUCAAUUUUA